ACCGCUGCUCUCCUCCUCGGCCAUGCCCCUGGGCUCGAGCCCGCCCGAGCUGCGCUGCCCCUAAGCCAAGCCUCACCCUCUGAUCCUCAACGGAUUGAGGCGAGUUCGGUUGGACUAUAUCUCUAUCUCUUCCCCGAUUUCAAAUCAGUUUGGGGAUUGCUUCAGAUAAGCUCGGCCACCGCGAUUUCUGCAAGUUUGGGCCGGCUACAUGCUCUUAUCUCCUCCUGUGGGAACCCCGGGCCACCUCUAUAAAAGGCAGGGAGGGGGUGCCCGGGAAGGGGGAUCAAUCUUUGGAGCUCUGCUGCGCCGAAGCUGUGCCGCUAGGUGUGUUUGCUGAGCAGCUGUGCCUUCCCCUCCCCGCUAGCAAGCUUCGCCAUCGGCAAGGAGAAAUCGAUAGAAGCCUCUGCCGCUUCUACUGCACCCACGCCCCCUAGGACGCGCCUCCGAUCCGUCGCCAUCAUCACCAUGUCUGCGCCCCGAGCCUUGCAGACUCGGAGACGACCUCGGUAUGACGACCGCCAGCGCACUUAAUCGGAGGUAGCCCGAAGACGGGCGUAAUUAACCGGAGAGCCCCACGAGGCCACGGGAACCAAGACAAAGCAAUCGCCAAAUCAUGAAGAUAGUCAGAUAGCGUGUGCGUUUGAGGAGUAAAACAAGUGUAAUCGAAAAAUGUACUUUAUGAAUUCAAUAUGAAUGAAUAAAGUUACAAUUCCAUUA